rnacentral:rRNA from 1 species
UACGUAGGGGGCAAGCGUUGUCCGGAUUUAUUGGGCGUAAAGAGCGUGUAGGCGGCCAGGUAGGUCCGUUGUGAAAACUCGAGGCUCAACCUCGAGACGUCGAUGGAAACCAUCUGGCUAGAGUCCGGAAGAGGAGAGUGGAAUUCCUGGUGUAGCGGUGAAAUGCGCAGAUAUCGGGAAGAACACCCGUGGCGAAGGCGGCUCUCUCGGGACGGUACUGACGCUGAGACGCGAAAGCGUGGGGAGCGAACAGG